UACAGAGGGUGCGAGCGUUGUCCGGAAUCACUGGGCGUAAAGGGCGCGUAGGCGGUUUUGUAAGUCGGGGGUGAAAUGCUGCGGCUCAACCGCAGCGCUGCCUUCGAGACUGCAAGACUGGAGCACGGUAGAGGCGGAUGGAAUUCCCGGUGUAGCGGUGGAAUGCGUAGAGAUCGGGAAGAACACCAAUGGCGAAGGCAGUCCGCUGGGCCGUUGCUGACGCUGAGGCGCGACAGCGUGGGGAGCAAACAGG
rnacentral:rRNA from 1 species